UACGUAGGGGGCUAGCGUUGUCCGGAAUCAUUGGGCGUAAAGCGCGUGUAGGCGGUUCGGUAAGUCCGCUGUGAAAGUCGGGGGCUCAACCCGUCGAAAGCCGGUGGAUACUGUCGGACUAGAGUGCGGAAGAGGCGAGUGGAAUUCCUGGUGUAGCGGUGAAAUGCGCAGAUAUCAGGAGGAACACCAAUUGCGAAGGCAGCUCGCUGGGACGUUACUGACGCUGAGACGCGAAAGCCAGGGGAGCGAACGGG
rnacentral:rRNA from 1 species